UACACUAAUACACAGAGGGGUGGAGGAUUAAUCAACGUUCUGUGGUCUUUCCCCAAAGUGCGGAUUCACAACAGAAAGGGUCCUCUCUCCAGAGAAAAACUGCUCAUUAACAAAAGAGAAAUGGAUCUCCAAAUUAACGUCUUGUAAACCUAGGAUUCAAAUACAGAUCAGAGCAUUGCAGGCAGGCAAACAGCAAACAAUCUAUCUGCUGAGAUGGAAUGAUGGACUCGUCUACAGAAGGGCUGCUAACAUGCUGGGACAGCAGAGUCCCUACAGCAUCAGUAGCAGCAUUUUAGCAAGCCCAUUACAUGGAAAAGAGAUAAAGGAUAUAAAUUUCAGGAUGGAGGGAAGGAAGAGGAAAUUCAGAAAAAUUGUCUUCUGCUCUCAGAUCAUGCUGGCCACCGCCUCUUCCGUCCA